rnacentral:rRNA from 1 species
UACGUAGGUGGCAAGCGUUGUCCGGAUUUACUGGGCGUAAAGAGCGCGCAGGCGGUCGUUCAAGUCGCGUGUGAAAGCCCCCGGCUCAACUGGGGAGGGUCACGCGAUACUGAUCGACUCGAAGGCAGGGGAGGGUAGUGGAAUUCCCGGUGUAGUGGUGAAAUGCGUAGAUAUCGGGAGGAACACCAGUGGCGAAGGCGGCAUCCUGGACCAAUAUUGACGCUGAGGAGCGAAAGCCAGGGGAGCAAACGGG